UGGACGGUAUCCGUUAGGAACUGUACUUUUAUAUUUCACAAAUGAAAAAUUGUAUUUCUGCCUUGAUCCAAAACUGGACUGGGACAGAGGG
rfam:Bacillus cellulosilyticus DSM 2522, complete genome.